CGGCAACAGCUCAAAUUUGAAAUCUGGCCUCUCGGGGUCCGAGUUGUAAUUUAGAGAAGUGUUAUCCGUGCUGGACCGUGUACAAGUCUCCUGGAAUGGAGCGUCAUAGAGGGUGAGAAUCCCGUCUUUGACACGGACUGCCAGUGCAUUGUGAUGCGCUCUCAAA
rnacentral:rRNA from 1 species